rnacentral:rRNA from 1 species
GUGGGGAAUCUUGCGCAAUGGGCGAAAGCCUGACGCAGCCAUGCCGCGUGAAUGAUGAAGGUCUUAGGAUUGUAAAAUUCUUUCACCGGGGACGAUAAUGACGGUACCCGGAGAAGAAGCCCCGGCUAACUUCGUGCCAGCAGCCGCGGUAAUACGAAGGGGGCUAGCGUUGCUCGGAAUUACUGGGCGUAAAGGGCGCGUAGGCGGACAGUUUAGUCAGCGGUGAAAGCCCAGGGCUCAACCUUGGAAUUGCCUUUGAUACUGGCUGUCUUGAGUACGGGAGAGGUGAGUGGAACUCCGAGUGUAGAGGUGAAAUUCGUAGAUAUGCGGAAGAACACCAGUGGCGAAGGCGACUCACUGGCCCGUUACUGACGCUGAGGCGCGAAAGCGUGGGGAGCAAACAGGAUUAGAAACCCGGGUAGUCC